AUUGAACGCUGGCGGCAUGCCUUACACGUGCAAGUCGAACGGCAGCACGGGAGCAAUCCUGGUGGCGAGUGGCGAACGGGUGAGUAAUGUAUCGGAACGUGCCCAGUCGUGGGGGAUAACGUAGCGAAAGCUACGCUAAUACCGCAUACGAUCUAUGGAUGAAAGCGGGGGAUCGCAAGACCUCGCGCGAAUGGAGCGGCCGAUAGCAGAUUAGGUAGUUGGUGGGGUAAAGGCCCACCAAGCCUGCGAUCUGUAGCUGGUCUGAGAGGACGACCAGCCACACUGGAACUGAGACACGGUCCAGACUCCUACGGGAGGCAGCAGUGGGGAAUUUUGGACAAUGGGCGCAAGCCUGAUCCAGCAAUGCCGCAUGCAGGAUGAAGGCCUUCGGGUUGUAAACUGCUUUUGUACGGAUCGAAACGGCUUUUUCUAAUACAGAGAGCUAAUGACGGUACCGUAAGAAUAAGCACCGGCUAACUACGUGCCAGCCGCCGCGGUAA
rnacentral:rRNA from 1 species